rnacentral:rRNA from 1 species
GACGAACGCUGGCGGCGUGCCUAAUACAUGCAAGUCGACCUUAGUGGCGAAAGGGUGAGUAACACGUGGGUAACCUGCCAAUCAGAAGGGGAUAACACUUGGAAACAGGUGCGAAUCACGUAUACUGAUGGAUGUACCCGCGGUGCAUUAGCUAGUUGGCUAGGUAACGGCUCACCAAGGCCACGAUGCAUAGGCUACCUGAGAGGGUGAUCAGACACAUUGGUAAUGAUACACGGCCCAAACUCCUACGGGAGGCAGAAGUAGGGAAUCUUCGGCAAUGGACGAAAGUCUGACCGAGCAACGCCGCGUGAGUGAAGAAGGUUUUCGGAUCGUAAAACUCUGUUGUUAGAGAAGCGGUAUCUAACCAGAAAGCCACGGCUAACUACGUGCCAGCAGCCGCGGUAAUAC